GAAUUGAAUCAUUUUCCAAGAAUUGGUCUGUUUGGCUGUCUGUGGAAUUGAAUUGACCAUUUCAAUCUAAUUUCAAUCCCUGCAAAUGUGGCCUCCUCUCAAUUCAGACCCUCCACCAUCGGAAAAGGCUAGAAAGGCAACUAGGGUUUCCUGUCUCCACCGAAGAUCGUCGCCCUCAUCCAUCUCUCGUCUCCUGUCUUCCUCGCCCUCAUCGGAAAAGCAGCUCAAGAGCGUUAAAACAGCUCGUUGUUUUGGGAUUUGUUGCCUCAAGUUUCAUCUAGCUACCUCCAACAAAUCCUUCAAUCUCCAUGGCUACAUCGGAUGUUCUUCAAUAUUUAGUCUCUCUACGGUUUCCUGGAUGGUCCAUUUUCCAUUGAUGAUGUCGUUUGCACUUGCUUUAAUUUAUUUUUUAUUAACCACCUCAAAGUUGAUAGUGACACUGUAUGGGAUGAUGGCACUCCCAAUGGAAAGGAGGAAGAGGUGUCUUAUGAUGCAGCUAAGGAAGUGAAACAGCUUAUAUGUGAACUUAGAUCUCUGUGUUGAAUUGAUUGUGUGAACUUGUCUUUGUGAAACUUUUGUGUGCGAACUUGAUGGCUUUGUGAAAUUGUUGUGUGCGAACUUGAUGACUUUGUGAAACUGCUAUUUUAAGAUUUGAUAUCUUUGUAGAACUUUUAUGUGCGAACUUGAUGACUUUGUGAAAAUGUUAUGUGUGACUUGCCUUUGUGGAACUA